rnacentral:rRNA from 1 species
GAGUCGAGAGGGUUCGGCCCUCGGCUGACGGCUCAGUAACACGUGGAUAAUCUGCCCUUAGGUGGAGGAUAAUCUCGGGAAACUGAGGAUAAUACUCCAUAGAUCUAGGAUGCUGGAAUGCAUCUAGAUUGAAAGCUCCGGCGCCUAAGGAUGAGUCUGCGGACUAUCAGGUUGUAGUCAGGGUAAAGACCUGACUAGCCUACGACGGAUACGGGUUGUGAGAGCAAUAACCCGGAGACGAUAUCUGAGACACGAUAUCGGGCCCUACGGGGCGCAGCAGGCGCGAAAACUUCACACUGUGCGAAAGCGCGAUGAGGGAAUCCCAAGUGUUUGCUCGUAAGAGUAAACUGUUUCUUUGUUUAAAACGCAGAGAGAGUAAGGGCUGGGUAAGACGGGUGCCAGCCGCCGCGGUAAUACCUGCAGCUCGAGUGGUGAUCAUUAUUAUUGGGCCUAAAACGUCCGUAGCCGGUUUAGUAAAUGCCUGGGUAAAUCGUGUAGCUUAACUAUACGACUUCCGGGUAGACUGCUAAACUUGAGACCGGGAGAGGCUAGAGGUACUCCUGGGGUAGAGGUGAAAUUCUGUAAUCCUAGGGGGACCACCAGUGGCGAAGGCGUCUAGCUAGAACGGGUCUGACGGUGAGGGACGAAGCCCUGGGGCACAAACCGGAUUAGAUACCCGGGUAGUCCAGGGUGUAAACGCUGCUUGCUUGAUGUUAGUUGGGCUCCGAGCCCAACUAGUGUCGGAGAGAAGUUGUUAAGCAAGCUGCCUGGGAAGUACGGUCGCAAGGCUGAAACUUAAAGGAAUUGGCGGGGGAGCAC